GUAGGUGGCGAGCGUUGUCCGGAAUUAUUGGGCGUAAAGCGCGCGCAGGCGGGUUCUUUAAGUCUGAUGUGAAAGCCCACGGGCUCAACCGUGGAGGGUCAUUGGAAACUGGAGAACUUGAGUACAGAAGAGGAAAGCGGAAUUCCACGUGUAGCGGUGAAAUGCGUAGAGAUGUGGAGGAACACCGGUGGCGAAGGCGGCUUUCUGGUCUGUAACUGACGCUGAGGCGCGAAAGCGUGGGGAGCAAACAGGAUUAGAUACCCUGGUAGUCCACGCCGUAAACGAUGAGUGCUAAGUGUUAGGGGGUUUCCGCCCCUUAGUGCUGCAGCUAACGCAUUAAGCACUCCGCCUGGGGAGUACGGCCGCAAGGCUG
rnacentral:rRNA from 1 species